rnacentral:rRNA from 1 species
UACGGGGGGGGCAAGCGUUGUUCGGAAUUACUGGGCGUAAAGGGCUCGUAGGUGGCCAACUAAGUCGGACGUGAAAUCCCUCAGCUUAACUGGGGAACUGCGUCCGAUACUGGAUGGCUUGAGUUUGGGAGAGGGAUGCGGAAUUCCAGGUGUAGCGGUGAAAUGCGUAGAUAUCGGGAGGAACACCUGUGGCGAAAGCGGCUCACUGGACCACAACUGACGCUGAGGCGCGAAAGCUAGGGGAGCAAACAGG